AGGGACAGGAGCACACACCAUGAUUUCACACAUCCAGCUGAUCUGGCCCCUGGCAUUCUGUGUCGCAGGUAUCAGUGGGGACAUCACCAUGACCCAGUCUCCCCCGGUGCUGUCAGUGGGACUGGGCCAGACCGCAACCAUCACCUGUAAGGCCAGUCAAAGCAUUAGCAGCAACCUUGCUUGGUACCAGCAGCGAGAAGGUCAGAAACCCUCUCUCCUGAUCUACAAUGCAGCAACUCGAUUCACAGGAGUCUCCGAUCGAUUCACCGGCAGUGGAUCAGGGACCAGUUUCACCCUGACAAUCAGCAACGUUCAGAAUGAGGAUGUCGCUGACUAUUACUGUCAGCAGUAUAGCAGCUACCCUCGACACAGUGAUACAGAGCCAUACAAAAACCUCAACACGCACAACACCACCUCCUGGACUGACACAUCGCACAGUCACAUAAAAUGUAUAAUAAUGAACACACAGUCUCACUGCCUGAAGUGA